UAACACAUGCAAGUCGAGCGGAGAUGAGGUGCUUGCACCUUAUCUUAGCGGCGGACGGGUGAGUAAUGCUUAGGAAUCUGCCUAUUAGUGGGGGACAACAUUCCGAAAGGAAUGCUAAUACCGCAUACGUCCUACGGGAGAAAGCAGGGGAUCUUCGGACCUUGCGCUAAUAGAUGAGCCUAAGUCGGAUUAGCUAGUUGGUGGGGUAAAGGCCUACCAAGGCGACGAUCUGUAGCGGGUCUGAGAGGAUGAUCCGCCACACUGGGACUGAGACACGGCCCAGACUCCUACGGGAGGCAGCAGUGGGGAAUAUUGGACAAUGGGGGGAACCCUGAUCCAGCCAUGCCGCGUGUGUGAAGAAGGCCUUAUGGUUGUAAAGCACUUUAAGCGAGGAGGAGGCUACUGAGACUAAUACUCUUGGAUAGUGGACGUUACUCGCAGAAUAAGCACCGGCUAACUCUGUGCCAGCAGCCGCGGUAAUACAGAGGGCGCGAGCGUUAAUCGGAUUUACUGGGCGUAAAGCGUGCGUAGGCGGCUUUUUAAGUCGGAUGUGAAAUCCCCGAGCUUAACUUGGGAAUUGCAUUCGAUACUGGGAAGCUAGAGUAUGGGAGAGGAUGGUAGAAUUCCAGGUGUAGCGGUGAAAUGCGUAGAGAUCUGGAGGAAUACCGAUGGCGAAGGCAGCCAUCUGGCCUAAUACUGACGCUGAGGUACGAAAGCAUGGGGAGCAAACAGGAUUAGAUACCCUGGUAGUCCAUGCCGUAAACGAUGUCUACUAGCCGUUGGGGCCUUUGAGGCUUUAGUGGCGCAGCUAACGCGAUAAGUAGACCGCCUGGGGAGUACGGUCGCAGACUAAACUCAAUGAUUGACGGGGCCCGCACAGCGGUGGAGCAUGUGUUUAAUUCGAUGCAACGCGAGA
rnacentral:rRNA from 1 species